rnacentral:rRNA from 1 species
UACGAGAGGCCCAAACGUUAUUCGGAUUUACUGGGCUUAAAGAGUUCGUAGGCGGCUCGGCAAGUGAGGUGUGAAAUCCCUUGGCUCAACCAAGGAAUUGCGCUUCAAACUGCCGGGCUCGAGGGAGAUAGAGGUGAGCGGAACUGAUGGUGGAGCGGUGAAAUGCGUUGAUAUCAUCAGGAACACCAGAGGCGAAGGCGGCUCACUGGGUCUCUUCUGACGCUGAGGAACGAAAGCUAGGGGAGCAAACAGG